rnacentral:rRNA from 1 species
UUAUCCGGAUUUACUGGGCGUAAAGCGUGCGUAGGUGGUCUUUUAAGUCGGAUGUGAAAUCCCUGAGCUUAACUUAGGAAUUGCAUUCGAUACUGGGAGACUAGAGUAUGGGGAGAGGAUGGUAGAAUUCCAGGUGUAGCGGUGAAAUGCGUAGAGAUCUGGAGGAAUACCGAUGGCGAAGGCAGCCAUCUGGCCUAAUACUGACACUGAGGUACGAAAGCAUGGGGAGC